UUACGAACGCUGGCGGCGUGCUCAACACAUGCAAGUCGAACGGAAAGGCCCUGCUUUUGUGGGGUGCUCGAGUGGCGAACGGGUGAGUAACACGUGAGUAACCUGCCCUUGACUUUGGGAUAACUUCAGGAAACUGGGGCUAAUACCGGAUAGGAGCUCCUGCUGCAUGGUGGGGGUUGGAAAGUUUCGGCGGUUGGGGAUGGACUCGCGGCUUAUCAGCUUGUUGGUGGGGUAGUGGCUUACCAAGGCUUUGACGGGUAGCCGGCCUGAGAGGGUGACCGGCCACAUUGGGACUGAGAUACGGCCCAGACUCCUACGGGAGGCAGCAGUGGGGAAUAUUGCACAAUGGGCGGAAGCCUGAUGCAGCAACGCCGCGUGCGGGAUGACGGCCUUCGGGUUGUAAACCGCUUUCGCCUGUGACGAAGCGUGAGUGACGGUAAUGGGUAAAGAAGCACCGGCUAACUACGUGCCAGCAGCCGCGGUGAUACGUAGGGUGCGAGCGUUGUCCGGAUUUAUUGAGCGUAAAGGGCUCGUAGGUGGUUGAUCGCGUCGGAAGUGUAAUCUUGGGGCUUAACCCUGAGCGUGCUUUCGAUACGGGUUGACUUGAGGAAGGUAGGGGAGAAUGGAAUUCCUGGUGGAGCGGUGGAAUGCGCAGAUAUCAGGAGGAACACCAGUGGCGAAGGCGGUUCUCUGGGCCUUUCCUGACGCUGAGGAGCGAAAGCGUGGGGAGCGAACAGGCUUAGAUACCCUGGUAGUCCACGCUGUAAACGGUGGGUACUAGGUGUGGGGUCCAUUCCACGGGUUCCGUGCCGUAGCUAACGCUUUAAGUACCCCGCCUGGGGAGUACGGCCGCAAGGCUAAAACUCAAAGGAAUUGACGGGGCCCCGCACAAGCGGCGGAGCAUGCGGAUUAAUUCGAUGCAACGCGUAGAACCUUACCUGGGUUUGACAUGGAUCGGGAGUGCUCAGAGAUGGGUGUGCCUCUUUUGGGGUCGGUUCACAGGUGGUGCAUGGCUGUCGCCAGCUCGUGUCGUGAGAUGUUGGGUUAAGUCCCGCAACGAGCGCAACCCUUGUUCACUGUUGCCAGCACGUUAUGGUGGGGACUCAGUGGAGACCGCCGGGGUCAACUCGGAGGAAGGUGGGGAUGACGUCAAGUCAUCAUGCCCCUUAUGUCCAGGGCUUCACGCAUGCUACAAUGGCUGGUACAGAGAGUGGCGAGCCUGUGAGGGUGAGCGAAUCUCGGAAAGCCGGUCUCAGUUCGGAUUGGGGUCUGCAACUCGACCUCAUGAAGUCGGAGUCGCUAGUAAUCGCAGAUCAGCAACGCUGCGGUGAAUACGUUCCCGGGGCUUGUACACACCGCCCGUCAAGUCAUGAAAGUUGGUAACACCCGAAGCCGGUGGCCUAACCGUUGUGGGGGAGCCGUCGAAGGUGG
rnacentral:rRNA from 1 species